AAAAAAAAAAAAGAAAGAAAAAUUAGGCAUGAUUUUAAUUCCUUAGUCCUUCUUCUCAAAGGAAUUGGAUUCUCCUUGCCUGGGGACCCAUAAUUUCUCUCUUUUGUGUGAAACUCAUUUAUAUGAAUCAAGAGGCUUAUUUGAUUGAGAUUUUUUCUAAAUUGGGUUAAUAUUAUGAGUUUAAGUCCAUUGAAGUGAGAUUGAUUGAUGAAACAUGAGAAAUUUUCAAAGAGAGAAG
rnacentral:misc_RNA from 1 species